rnacentral:rRNA from 2 species
CGCGACCUCAGGUCAGGCGGGGCUACCCGCUGAGUUUAAGCAUAUCAAUAA